rnacentral:misc_RNA from 1 species
GAUGAAGAACGUAGCGAAAUGCGAUACUUGGUGUGAAUUGCAGAAUCCCGUGAACCAUCGAGUCUUUGAACGCAAGUUGCGCCCGAAGCCAUUAGGCCGAGGGCACGCCUGCCUGGGCGUCACACGUCGUUGCCCCCCCAUCUACUCCUUCGGGAUUGCGGGGGGCGGAUGAUGGCCUCCCGUGCGCCUCGCCGCGCGGUUGGCAUAAAUGCCAAGUCCUCGGCGACGCACGCCACGACAAUCGGUGGUUGCGAAACCUCGGUUGCCCGUCGUGUGCGGUCGUCGCGCAUCAAGGGCUCGAAAAAAUUGCCGGGUUCCGGCUCGGCUUUCAACGCGACCCCAGGUCAGGCGGGGUUACCCGCUGAAUUUAAGCAUAUCAAUAAGCGGAGGA